AAAUUUAAUGCCUUGCUGAUGACGUAAUCAACGAUGACGUGUACUUCAGGCGUUAUUAACACAGGCAAACGUGGUGCUCUAUAGCAAUCCAAUCGCGA
rnacentral:lncRNA from 1 species